rnacentral:rRNA from 1 species
GACGAACCGUGCAAACGUUGUUCGGAAUCACUGGGCUUAAAGGGCGCGUAGGCGGGCAAGCAAGUCGAAGGUGAAAUCCCCACGGCUCAACCGUGGAAGUGCCCCCGAUACUGCUUGUCUUGAGGGAGAUAGGGGCGUGCGGAACUUCCGGUGGAGCGGUGAAAUGCGUAGAUAUUGGGAGGAACACCAGUGGCGAAGGCGGCUCACUGGACCGGUACUGACGCUGAGGCGCGAAAGCGUGGGGAGCAAACGGG